rnacentral:rRNA from 1 species
UGUCUAUUAAUUGUAGNCCCGUAUGAAAGGCAAAAUGAGGGCCUAACUGUCUCUUAUAAUAAAUCAAUUAAACUGAUCUCCCAGUCAAAAAGCUGGAAUACUGACAUAAGACCAGAAGACCCUGUGAAGCUUAAACUAAACUAUUAAACCAAAUAAUAGCUCCUUUUGGUUGGGGCGACCUUGGAAAAAAAAACAACUUCCAAAUACAAUGAUCUAUACCAUCAUAUCAACGGCUGACAAGCAAAAAUUGACCCAGCAUAGCUGAUUAUUGAACUAAGUUACUCCAGGGAUAACAGCGCUAUCCUCUUCAAGAGCCCAUAUCAAAAAGAGGGUUUACGACCUCGAUGUUGGAUCAGGACAUCCUAAUGGUGCAGCCGCUAUUAAGGGUUCGUUUGUUCAACGAUUAACAGU